UUGCUAGAUGGAGUGCGCUUGUGUUUCUUGGCUUCCUGAAAGCUGUGUCUGUCUUUUUCACUGCCGGCUGGAGAGACUCGGGGGAGAAAGCGUUGUGCUUGAUGGCACGGUUUCCUUGGGCAAAGGAUGCUUUGGCAGCAGAGGUUUGCUGUCAGGAGGCAUGAAAGCACUGAAGCCAAUGCUGCCGUGCCCUGGGCCCAGAGACAUCAGCUCCCAGCACGUCCCUGGCGGUGGAUGUGUGCAAGCUCUGUGUCUGCCAGUGGUUGCUCCAAAGGCUUUGUGGUCAGCUGUGCGUGGCUGUUUUGCUCUUGAGGGCGUGGGAACAGAGGGCAACACGCUGAUGGGAGUGAUGGUGUCCUGCUCAGCAAUGGAUGUGCUGGGUGGCAGAAGAGGAUUCUUGGCCGAGCGUGGAAAAUCUCUCUGCUCCUUCCUGAAGGACACAGUAUUCCACUUGGAAAGGGCCUCCAACGAUUUCUGGUAUCCUCUGAGAGCUCUGAGCUGCCACACCAAUUUGAAGCUGACUUCAUUUUUGGUCUUCCCCUUCAGCAGAAAAGCUCAGACAGCCGAGCCAAGCGAG
rnacentral:lncRNA from 1 species